AUUGAACGCUGGCGGCAUGCCUUACACGUGCAAGUCGAACGGCAGCACGGGUGCUUGCACCUGGUGGCGAGUGGCGAACGGGUGAGUAAUACAUCGGAAUGUACCUUGUAGUGGGGGAUAGUUCGGCGAAAGCCGGAUUAAUACCGCAUACGCUCUGAGGAGGAAAGCGGGGGACCUUCGGGCCUCGUGCUACAAGAGCAGCCGAUGUCAGAUUAGCUUGUUGGUGAGGUAAAAGCUCACCAAGGCGACGAUCUGUAGCUGGUCUGAGAGGACGGCCAGCCACACUGGGACUGAGACACGGCCCAGACUCCUACGGGAGGCAGCAGUGGGGAAUUUUGGACAAUGGGCGAAAGCCUGAUCCAGCAAUGCCG
rnacentral:rRNA from 1 species